CACGUAGGGCGCAAGCGUUGUCCGGAAUUAUUGGGCGUAAAGAGCUCGUAGGCGGUCUGUUGCGUCCGCUGUGAAAACUCGGGCUUAACCCCGAGCCUGCAGUGGGUACGGGCAGACUAGAGUGCGGUAGGGGAGAUUGGAAUUCCUGGUGUAGCGGUGGAAUGCGCAGAUAUCAGGAGGAACACCGAGUGGCGAAGGCAGAUCUCUGGGCCGUAACUGACGCUGAGGAGCGAAAGCAUGGGGAGCGAACAGG
rnacentral:rRNA from 1 species